GACGAAGGUGGCGACCGUUGUUCGGAAUCACUGGGCAUAAAGAGCACGUAGGCGGCGAUGUAUGUCGGGUGUGAAAUCCCUCGGCCUAACCGAGGAAUUGCGCCCGAAACUACAUUGCUUGAGGAUGGAAGGGGAGCGUGGAAUUCCUGGUGGAGCGGUGAAAUGCGUUGAUAUCAGGAGGAACACCGGCGGCGAGGGCGACGCUCUGGUCCAUUUCUGACGCUGAGGUGCGAAAGCCAGGGGAGCAAACGGG
rnacentral:rRNA from 1 species